rnacentral:lncRNA from 1 species
AUAUCCAAGAUUUCUGAAAUCAAACGACAAUAGUAGAUGGCUAGGAACGACCGAGAAGCGUUGUCGGCGAUUAAGAUGACGUAUUGAUUCCAAGGCGAGAUUAGCGAUUAACCGAGACCGAUGAUUAGGGAAACGAGCGGGGUUUUGAGUGUUUGAUUUGGGGAAAUCGAUUUGGGGUUUUGGGUGUUUGAUUUGGGGAAAGUUGAUUUGGGGAAAUUGAUUUGGGGUUUUAGGGGUUUGAUUUGGGU